rnacentral:rRNA from 1 species
AGUAACGCGUGGGUAACCUGCCUCAUACAGGGGGAUAACAGUUAGAAAUGACUGCUAAUACCGCAUAAGCGCACAGUGCUGCAUGGCACAGUGUGAAAAACUCCGGUGGUAUGAGAUGGACCCGCGUCUGAUUAGCUAGUUGGUGGGGUAACGGCCUACCAAGGCGACGAUCAGUAGCCGCCUGAGAGGGUGACCGGCCACAUUGGGACUGAGACACGGCCCAA